UCUUCGGAGCAUAAAGAACUUCUUCUUAGAGAAAGAACUUGGAAGAACACAGGCACCAGGGCCAAAGCAUGUACAAGUGGAUUGUCUACAAGGGGAAGAGCUUAUCUUAAAUUUGAGCUGCAAUCAAAAAUAAAGAAUCCAUUUUGUUGUUUCUAUUUGUGGAGUUCAAUUGGGAGACAUCAAUUUAUCGUAGCUGUGGAAAAGUAGCAGAAGGUCCAGAGAAAAGCCAUGGAAACGAUGAAGAACUAGGAAGAUGGAAUUCAACCAUGUAUCCUGGAGAGAUGACUGUAACAUCUUACCAAGAAAAGAGACUUUCUGGAUUCCAUGAAGAAGGAGGAAAGUCUACAUUAAAUCCAGGU